rnacentral:rRNA from 1 species
GGCGAACGCUGGCGGCAGGCCUAACACAUGCAAGUCGAACGGACCUUUCGGGGUUAGUGGCGGACGGGUGAGUAACACGUGGGAACGUGCCUUUAGGUUCGGAAUAGCUCCUGGAAACGGGUGGUAAUGCCGAAUGUGCCCUUCGGGGGAAAGAUUUAUCGCCUUUAGAGCGGCCCGCGUCUGAUUAGCUAGUUGGUGAGGUAACGGCUCACCAAGGCGACGAUCAGUAGCUGGUCUGAGAGGAUGACCAGCCACAUUGGGACUGAGACACGGCCCAAACUCCUACGGGAGGCAGCAGUGGGGAAUCUUGCGCAAUGGGCGAAAGCCUGACGCAGCCAUGCCGCGUGGAUGAUGAAGGUCUUAGGAUUGUAAAAUCCUUUCACCGGUGAAGAUAAUGACUGUAGCCGGAGAAGAAGCCCCGGCUAACUUCGUGCCAGCCGCCGCGGUAACAC